rnacentral:rRNA from 1 species
UACGUAGGGGCCUAGCGUUGUCCGGAUUUAUUGGGCGUAAAGAGCUCGUAGGCGGUUUGGUGAGUCGGGUGUGAAAUCUCCACGCUCAACGUGGAGGAGCCACCCGAUACUGCCAUGACUAGAGUCCGGUAGGGGAGUGUGGAAUUCCUGGUGUAGCGGUGAAAUGCGCAGAUAUCGGGAAGAACACCUAUGGCGAAGGCAGCUCUCUGGGACGGUACUGACGCUGAGACGCGAAAGCGUGGGGAGCGAACAGG